ensembl:snoRNA SNORA70 Small nucleolar RNA SNORA70
CUGCAGCCAAUUAAGCUAUGUCUUUCCCUGUGGGAUCUGGUGUGCAAUGGCUGCAAAUAGCAGCCUCAUAGGUAGUGUACGCAACCUGUGGCAAGUAUGGGUUACCUAAAGGACCUUGGAGACAGCC